CUGAGCGGGGCAGGCAAGGUCUGGCCCUCGAGGUCAGGCCUCAGCCGCGGCGUUAUGAGAUGGCAAGCGGCGAGUAUUAUGGGAUGCCGAGCCCUUCUGCGGGGGGGAAGGGCGAGCCGCAACUAUUAUGGGAUGGCGAGGCCUCCCGCGACCGGAGGGGGGCAGGAACCCUCGGGCGGGUCCUAAGCAUGGCGAGGCUGCGGACUCCUGCUUGCCCUCGCAAGCGAAUUCUGAUACCAACGUAGCUGAAUGGCCCGCAGCCAUCCAAACUGGGAUUGUGGAGCAUCUCAACAUCUCACCUGUACAUUAGUCCCAAGCAUAUCAUUUUUAGGAAGAAACUUACCGUCUAAGUCCAAGUGUCACAAAGCUCUGACUUCUAAGUUCAAGAAACAUGCACAAGGAUGGCACAAAGCGAGACAUGUCCCUGCUCAGUCCAUCCCAGAGCACAGCCUGAUAUGUGAUCCCUGCUUUCUGCAACGGGGGCACAGCCCCAAAGUACCUGGUCUGGUUCUUGCCCGAGAUGAGGGAAAACCUCCUCCAGACAUAUGUGGCUGUGGCAGCUCUGCAAACCCCUGCCCAGAUUGGACCCCGUGGUGACUCAGUAGGUAUCACCAUCGAGAUUUGACUCUCCUCCUCUCCAGCCAACCCGAGUCCAUCAGCUCUGCUCAGCAUCAGUGGUGCUCUCACCCAGCCAAAUGGAGAAUGCAACCUCCCGGCUAAUUAGCACUGUUCCCUGGAGCACAGUUGUUGCUGGGUGCAGCGCUGGAAACACCUCUCCCAGAUCCAGCUGGAGGAGCAGCUCCUUGGACACGACAGGAAGGACUCUUGUCUUUUCUCCACGAGACAAGGAGACUUUCCUGCAUCAUUUUCUUCUGUGUCUGACACCAAAGUAAAGAUACUUCUAUUUGGCUAAACAAAUAAGCUCAUGCUUUUCUUUGAAAUAAAAAACACUCAAACUAAAUAAGGAAAAAAGGAGAAGGGGGGUGCAUGAUGAAGAAAACAACAAUGAAAAUUGGUCAUUUAGAUUUCCUUAGCUUGCCAUGGAGACUUUAUAGAAAGCUGGGAGUGGAGUAGCGUGUCCUGGGCAGAGGAAAAAGCUUUGUAGUGUUGGGGGAGACUUGCAGAAUCCAGAACAGUUACUUUGGCUAGUGCUAGGGACACAGGAUUCUCACAAGAUAGUUUAAAAUAAGAGCAGGGGGACUUGGAUGUUGAAGAAACACAGACUCUUGGACAAUAACUAGAUAUCGAGCGAAAGUUUGAACCAUUUUCUUGCUAAUUCCAAAGUAAAAAUUACCUAUCUCAGAGUUUGAUCCCCACCCCCCACUAAAAAAAUUAUCUAAGGCAAAAUUCUCUGCUUUACAAAAGAAAGAACAAAAGGGCAGGGCUUCUCAGAAAUCCUGGG